rnacentral:rRNA from 1 species
UACGGGGGGAGCAAGCGUUGUUCGGAUUUACUGGGCGUAAAGGGCGCGUAGGCGGUCAGUGCAAGUCAGUUGUGCAAUCUCCGGGCUUAACUCGGAAAGGUCAACUGAUACUGCUCGACUAGAGUGCGGAAGGGGCAACUGGAAUGCUUGGUGUAGCGGUGAAAUGCGUAGAUAUCAAGAGGAACACCUGAGGCGAAGGCGGCGCACUGGACCACAACUGACGCUGAGGCGCGAAAGCUAGGGGAGCAAACAGG